rnacentral:rRNA from 1 species
UACGAAGGGGGCUAGCGUUGCUCGGAAUCACUGGGCGUAAAGCGCACGUAGGCGGGUUGUUAAGUCGGGGGUGAAAUCCUGGAGCUCAACUCCAGAACUGCCUUCGAUACUGGCGACCUUGAGUCCGGGAGAGGUGAGUGGAACUCCGAGUGUAGAGGUGAAAUUCGUAGAUAUUCGGAAGAGCACCAGUGGCGAAGGCGGCUCACUGGCCCGGUACUGACGCUGAGGUGCGAAAGCGUGGGGAGCAAACAGG